rnacentral:rRNA from 1 species
CCCUUAGAUGUUCGGGGCCGCACGCGCGCUACACUGAAGGAAUCAGCACGUCUUUCUCCUUGUCCGAAAGGACUGGGUAACCCGCUGAACCUCCUUCGUGCUAGGGAUUGGGGCUUGUAAUUCUUCCCCAUGAACGAGGAAUUCCCAGUAAGCGCGAGUCAUAAGCUCGCGUUGAUUACGUCCCUGCCCUUUGUACACACCGCCCGUCGCUACUACCGAUUGGAUGGUUUAGUGAGAUCCUCGGAUUGGUCCCGGAGCGGCCUCUGGUCGUGCCGGAGUGCCGAAAAGAAUGUCGAACUUGAUCAUCUAGAGGAAGUAAAAGCCGUAACA